GAUACAGUAACUAAGGGUACAUUUGUGUGGCAUGAUGGGACAGUACUUCAAAAGAGUGAAUAUUACCCACUUUAUUUUAGCACAGAAAACCCAUCUGGUGCCACCCAAGACUGCAUCCAAUUAUGGAUCUUUGACAACAAAUUGGACGACUUUGAGUGUCAUGUCCCUGUACAUUAUGUGUGUGAGAAAGUGAUUGAUUGAGGAAAUAGUAAUUGCUAUUGAAACAAUAAAGUCAGACUACCAAUCGUCUGAAGUCUGAAGUCA
rnacentral:sRNA from 1 species